GUAACUAAAGGUAAUUUGCUGAUCAACCAAGUUAAGCAAGAGGAACGAACCCAUUGUGGUGGUCUUAAGAACUUCCUAUUUAACAAGAAGAGACAUGUCCACAAUGUUAUCUUGCUACACCAAACGUGGGAAUGUCCUGUCUGACAAAAAACCACAAUAACAGAAGCAGCAGAGGGGCGUACUGAAGAUGUCAGAAGCGACCUCGGGGAAGAUAAAAAGAGCUGCUCAGCUUGCUUGAAUUUGCAUGCCGUUGGUGGAGCAGGAGACUCCCCGGCUACCCAGCGCUGUUUUGCUUACUUGUCGCUUGCUUUAAUAAAUCAAAUUUUCUAAUUGGCCAGUCUCUGUCAUUUAAUUGGACAGGUAAACUAUAACAACUCAGGCCUCGGUGGGAGGUGAGGAAGCACCGAGGCCGCUGCCUUUCUGCCGGCCUGCUUGACUCCUGUCCACCGCUCUGUGUUUCCCUGCAGCGUGUGGGGACUGGCUUCUGCUGCUGAAAACCCUGCCAUCUCCUCAGCGUCCCCAUAAACGUCUUCCAGAAGCUUGGUGUUGGCCUGAGAGACUGCUGCUGCUGCAGAAGUAUAGAUUGUGUGACAUUUUUAGAUGAUUGAAGGGACAAACACGUGGAAGGACAUCUGGCAGAACAAACAAGAAGUGGAUUCACAUCUGGUUUCCUACUUGUGUCAAGCCCACCCAAGUUACUGUUAAGCCUCACUGCAAGGGAGCGGAAAUGUCAUGUUACUUUUGAUAGUAAGUCAAAUAUUUCUAAUACUGAAUUUUUAAAUUUCUGUGGAGUGUAAAUGUGAAUGUCAGGAUAUUCAAGGAAAAUAACAGAUGUAUGAGGUAUCCCAGCUGCAGUGUUCUGGAGGCCUGUGACAGGACCAACAAACUGUGAAGCUGUUUCCUGUAACACAGUGGAGCCAGAUGCUCUGACUGCAUACAAAAAUCAGGGGUUUAAGAGCAUCAGGAAUUAUUUAAAAAUGCAGUUAUAAAAUAAUAAGGCAGCUUUAUGAUGAGGAUUGAUGAUUCCACUGACAUCUGCCAACAUGAAGUUUGAAUUCAUGCACACUAUGAAUGAAUUUGUGUUUCAGUACUGGAGAAAUCCC
rnacentral:lncRNA from 1 species